rnacentral:rRNA from 1 species
ACCGUUAGGCGAUGGAUUGCUAGGUACUCGCUUCGACGAAGAGCGCAGUGAAAGCGAUAACGCUUGUGAUUCGCACUCUCUGUGAUCAACGUCACCUCGAACAUUAAUGCGGCCUUGCCUUCGGGCACUGGCCCCCUUGGCUUGCCUU